rnacentral:rRNA from 1 species
GACAGAGGGUGCAAACGUUGUUCGGAUUUACUGGGCGUAAAGCGCGUGUAGGCGGCUUGGCAAGUCGGAUGUGAAAGCCCACGGCUCAACCGUGGAAGCGCAUCCGAAACUGCUUCGCUCGAGUCUCGGAGAGGAAGGUGGAAUGCUUGGUGUAGAGGUGAAAUUCGUAGAUAUCAAGCAGAACACCUGCGGCGAAGGCGGCCUUCUGGAUGAUGACUGACGCUGAGACGCGAAAGCGUGGGGAGCAAACAGG